rnacentral:rRNA from 1 species
AUCGAACGCUGGCGGCAGGCCUAACACAUGCAAGUCGAGCGGAGCGGCGGACGGGUGAGUAAUGCCUAGGAAUCAGCCUGGUAGUGGGGGAUCACGUCAGGAAACGGGCGAUAAUACCGCAUACUAGCAGAUGAGCUUAGGUCGGAGUAGCUAGUUGGUGGGGUAAAGGCUUACAAAGGCGACGAUCCGUAACUGGUCUGAGAGGAUGAUCCGUCACACUGGAAUGGAGACACGGCCCAGACUCCUACGGGAGGCAGCAGUGGGGAAUAUUGGACAAUGGGCGAAAGCCUGAUCCAGCCAUGCCGCGUGUGUGAAGAAGGUCUUCGGAUUGUAAAACCCUUUAAGUUGGGAGGCGGUACCGAAAGAAUAAGCACCGGCUAACUUCGUGCCAGCAGCCGCGGUAAUUC